rnacentral:tRNA from 1 species
GCCGGGGUGGCGGAAUGGUAUACGCGGACGGCUCAAACCCGUCUGGGCGCAAGCCCGUAGGGGUUCGAAUCCCCUUCCCGGUACCG